CCAGGAGUCAAGGAACGUGGAAAGGGACUUAACAGGACUCUCUCCAUGGAUAAACCCCUGUCACGUUCAUCUCUGAAUGUCAGUCUCCUCAUCUGUGAAAUGGGAAGAGCUUCUGCUUCAGCCUCCACUUCUACUUCUGUAAAACAAGGAUAAUCCAGGUACCUAUGUCACAGGAUUACUGUGAGGAUUAAAUGUGAAAGGUUAUUGAUAUUUCUCCCGGCAAUCUUGAUUCCAGCUUGUGCUUCUUCCAG